rnacentral:rRNA from 1 species
GUCCAGACUCCUACGGGAGGCAGCAGUGGGGAAUAUUGCACAAUGGGGGAAACCCUGAUGCAGCGACGCCGCGUGAGUGAGGAAGUAUUUCGGUAUGUAAAGCUCUAUCAGCAGGGAAGAAAAUGACGGUACCUGACUAAGAAGCCCCGGCUAACUACGUGCCAGCAGCCGCGGUAAUACGUAGGGGGCAAGCGUUAUCCGGAUUUACUGGGUGUAAAGGGAGCGUAGACGGCUGCGCAAGUCAGAAGUGAAAGCCCGGGGCUCAACCGCGGGACUGCUUUUGAAACUGUGUAGCUAGAGUGCAGGAGAGGUAAGUGGAAUUCCUAGUGUAGCGGUGAAAUGCGUAUAUAUUAGGAGGAACACCGGUGGCGAAGGCGGCUUACUGGACUGUAACUGACGUUGAGGCUCGAAAGCGUGGGGAGCAAACAGGAUUAGAUACCCGGGUAU